rnacentral:precursor_RNA from 10 species
CAUUAACUUCUUUCUUUUCUGGUUGUGGAACCUUGUUCAGUUGGGUUGUUGCGUGACAGCUACGUUACAACCUGCUUGAAUGAGGCUUGACGACACAGUACCUUCAGCGGCAGACGA